UUACUUCUUCACGCGCAACAUGUCGUGCCUCGUCGCAUUUGCGGUUGGCGGAAAGUACAAGGCUGGAAACGGCG
rnacentral:SRP_RNA from 1 species